rnacentral:rRNA from 1 species
CCUACGGGGGGCAGCAGUGGGGAAUAUUGGACAAUGGGGGCAACCCUGAUCCAGCCAUGCCGCGUGUGUGAAGAAGGCCCUCGGGUUGUAAAGCACUUUCAGUGAGGAAGAACGCCUGGUGGUUAAUACCCAUCAGGAAAGACAUCACUCACAGAAGAAGCACCGGCUAACUCCGUGCCAGCAGCCGCGGUAAUACGGAGGGUGCGAGCGUUAAUCGGAAUUACUGGGCGUAAAGCGCGCGUAGGUGGCUUGAUAAGCCGGUUGUGAAAGCCCCGGGCUCAACCUGGGAACGGCAUCCGGAACUGUCAAGCUAGAGUGCAGGAGAGGAAGGUAGAAUUCCCGGUGUAGCGGUGAAAUGCGUAGAGAUCGGGAGGAAUACCAGUGGCGAAGGCGGCCUUCUGGACUGACACUGACACUGAGGUGCGAAAGCGUGGGUAGCACACAGGAUUAGAUACCCCAGUAGUC